rnacentral:rRNA from 1 species
CAGCAGCCGCGGUAAUACGAAGGGGGCUAGCGUUGCUCGGAAUUACUGGGCGUAAAGGGAGCGUAGGCGGAUCGUUAAGUUGGGGGUGAAAGCCCGGGGCUCAACCUCGGAACUGCCUUCAAUACUGGCGAUCUUGAGUAUGAGAGAGGUGUGUGGAACUCCGAGUGUAGAGGUGAAAUUCGUAGAUAUUCGGAAGAACACCAGUGGCGAAGGCGACACACUGGCUCAUUACUGACGCUGAGGCUCGAAAGCGUGGGGAGCAAACAGGAUUAGAGACCCCAGUAGUCCCUGUCUCUUAUAC